rnacentral:rRNA from 1 species
GACGAACGCUGGCGGCGUGCCUAACACAUGCAAGUCGAGCGGAGGUAUGAAGUAGUUUACUAUGGAUUAUCUUAGCGGCGGACGGGUGAGUAACACGUGGGCAACCUGCCUUGAAGAGGGGGAUAACACCGGGAAAUCGGUGCUAAUACCGCAUAACAUCAUAUUACCGCAUGGUGAUGUGAUCAAAGGAGCAAUCCGCUUUAAGAUGGGCCCGCGGCUGAUUAGCUAGUUGGUAAGGUAAAGGCUUACCAAGGCGACGAUCAGUAGCCGACCUGAGAGGGUGACCGGCCACACUGGAACUGAGACACGGUCCAGACUCCUACGGGAGGCAGCAGUGGGGAAUAUUGCGCAAUGGGGGGAACCCUGACGCAGCAACGCCGCGUGGAGGAAGAAGGUCUUCGGAUUGUAAACUCCUGUCUUCCGGGACGAUAAUGACGGUACCGGAGGAGGAAGCCACGGCUAACUACGUG